rnacentral:rRNA from 1 species
GACGAACCGUACGAACGUUAUUCGGAAUUACUGGGCGUAAAGCGCACGUAGGCGGCUUGUUAAGUCAGGGGUGAAAUCCUGGAGCUCAACUCCAGAACUGCCUUUGAUACUGGCGAGCUUGAGUUCGGGAGAGGUGAGUGGAACUGCGAGUGUAGAGGUGAAAUUCGUAGAUACUCGCAAGAACACCAGUGGCGAAGGCGGCUCACUGGCCCGAUACUGACGCUGAGGUGCGAAAGCGUGGGGAGCAAACAGG